UCUAAUUACAAUCAUCAUCAUUGUGUCAUCUUAACUCCAGUUCUGAUUUUGCUUUAUCUAUUGUGAGACUCCACUUAGGAAACAAAAACAGAAAACCUGUCUUAAAGGGCAGUUAUAUUUCUCGCUUUGCAAUUCCUUGGCAAGGCUUGCAUAUGUCUGUGCUCCUCUCAUGUUCUUGUCUUUUGCUAGUCACUCCUGCAGAAUUGGAUGAGCUUUUCUGAUAGAUCCUCCUCCCUCUCUCUCUCUCUCUCUCUCUCUCUCUCUCUCUCUCUCUAACACAAGCACGCACAUAAUGGCGGCCCACUAAGGAAUAAAAGUCAACAUCAAAACAGAAAAAGAGACAGAAGUCAUAUGUGCUGCAAGAUGGGAAGGUUUUGGGGAUGACCAUUUUUUCCUACGCUUGAAUUGAGUUUGUAAACGUGACUAGCACUUUGCUCCUGCUUAGUAGUAACCUUUUAUGGACACCAAGGUGAACUUUAUUUGGACUGGUUCGAUCAUCUUACUCACUUCUCCCUUCACUGAACAAUUUGAGUACGGCUCAUCACCGUCUCGUGAUUAAAAUUUUCUUUUUCCAGGGUAAGAUCUCUUGGCAUCUAAAUAAACCUGUGAUGUGGGCGCUUCCUAUGACAAAAAUAGAAGAUUCACCAUCACCUCCUCAACUUAUUUGAUUGAGUCUCUGUGAAGCGGGCACAAUGGCCAGUCUCUUAGGUGGGAACUUCAUAUCGGAGUCGUAAUUAGCGGUAACAACAUACGAUUUGGCAUGAUUUAUGUAAAAGUUCUCCAUUGACCGUUGAGUUCUACUUUUGUGAUCCAAUAGUGGCAAACGCCUCAAGGAACGGUUUCUCAAGAACCGUCGAUGCCCUCAUUUUCGGUCGGUACGCCUGCGAUUAACAUUGAGCAACUGUGUUUCCCGCACCCCCGACGACGUUUCCCCCAAUAGUUCUCUUUGCUCGUUUCUUACAUGGCCCUUGGCCUUUCUCCUUUCGACUUCUCUCUUUUGAAGCGCUUCUUUCGUUGUUCCUUCUUGUUCCAUCGUUCCUGUGUAUUCUCGUUGUUACCCGGAUUCCGCCCCUUCUAUAUGCAGCUGCAAGUCGGCAUAGUACCCAAUGCCCAUGACAAAGGCUAUCUAGUUACAUGGACAUAGGCAGUUCAAAAGACUAAAAUUGCUUACUCCUAACUCAUAAAAAUGGAGAGAAAAAACUGCGUAUGGGAUGAUUAGUUGAGGAUUUAAAAAGAAUAUAAAAGAAUCCUGGGCGGAUUGAGCAUACUAUAUGGUGAACAUGGAACAUAACCAAUCACAUAUAUGUACAAAGCAUAUAUGCAAUCAAUGUGGUAUGUCUUUUUGUGAGCUCUUAAGAUAUAUAUUUAAAAAAAAAAAACAGGAGGAGGAGGAGAAGAAGAAGAAGCGCUAUAAAGAUCUCUCUAAGUAAAAAUCUCAACAUAUAAUAGAGGACAUGGAGCCGCAAAAAAGCUGAUAGAUACCCCCACGAUUAUAUACCAAAUUAGUCCGACAGUGGCAUGUUCAAUUCUAGGUGAUUAAUUGACAGAAUGCCAAUGGGCCAACAAUACAUUAAGUAUCAUUUUUGGUUAGGCUUACUUUCUGUCCGAAUUGCCACAGAAAGCGAUUCAGAUGAGGACCAAACAUCUAACCAAAGAAUAUUUCAGCACGCGAUGCCAUUCCCAGCGAAACAAUCUCAGGCGAUGUGCAUACUUCAACAUAUAUCUUGAGACAUGAACGAUGGCUAUCGGUCAUUGGUUAUCAUCAGUGUAAAUGGUUUUGUCCAAAUUCAAUUGCGAGAUACGGACAAAAAUUGCCCAAGAACUUUAGUUGAAUAUAUAAUGCAGUCUCUCAACUUUUAAUUUAUUCAAUAUGACCUCCAAACUUCACUCCAAUAGGCAAUAUAGUUCCUAAACUUUUAAUUUAUUCAAUGUGAUCUUUAAACAUUUUGUGCAUGUUCAAUUUAGUUUCUAGGAACUAUAUGAAAAUGUUUUCAUCAAUGUGGUUAGCAAAUAAAUGGUUUUGUUCAAAUUCAAUUGCGAGAUAAGGACAAAAAAUUGUCUAUCAACUUUAGUUGAAUAUAUAACACAGUCCCUCAACUUUUAUGAUAAAUUUACCCCAAACUAAUUUAUUCGACCACAAAAACUCAAAACUGAUAAAUUUGUGACAAUUAUACCCUUCGGUAAAUUGAGCGUACUAUACGGUGAACGUGGAACAUAACCAAUCAUAUAUAUGUACAGAGCAUAUAUGCAAUCAGUGUGGUAUGUCUUUUUGUGAGCUCUUAAGAGAGCGAACUGCUUGAUUUGUUAUAUAUAUAUAAGAAGAAGAAGAAGAAGUUGGUAGAGGACAUGGAGCCGCAAAAAAGUUGAUAGAUACCCCCACGAUUAUAUACCAAAUUUGUCCGACAGUGGCAUGUUCAAUUCUAGGUGAUUAAUUGACAGAAUGCCAAUGGGCCAACAAUACAUUAAGUAUCAUUUUUGGUUAGGCUUACUUUCUGUCUGAAUUGCCACAGAAAGCGAUUCAGACAAGGACCAAACAUCUAACCAAAGAACAUUUCAACACGCGGUGCCAUUCCCAACGAAACAAUCUCAAGCGAUGUGCAUACUUCAACAUAUAUCUUGAGACACCACCGGCCAUGGUGGCUCCGUUGGGUAGGCUUCAGGCCUUUGAGGGAGAGGUCGGGAGUUCGAAACCCCUGCAACGAAAGUUACAGGGAGGCUAGUGGGCCAUUAGGUGAUUGACGCGUGGCGCCGGGAUGGUGAUCUCCCUGCUAGCGACACCUAGGGGUUCACGUCGCGGCUGUCAACCAAGGUGGUUCCUCCAACAUAAUAAAUAAAUAAAAAUAAAUAAAAAAAAAAACAUAUAUCUUGAGACAUGAACGAUGGCUAUCGGUCAUUGGUUAUCAUCAGUGUAAAUGGUUUUGUCCAAAUUCAAUUGCGAGAUACAGACAAAAAUUGUCAAUGAACUUUAGCUGAAUAUAUAAUGCAAUCUCUCAACUUUUAAUUUAUUCAAUAUGACCUCCAAACUUCACCCCAAUAAGCAAUGCAGUUCCUAAACUUUUAAUUUAUUCAAUGUGAUCUUUGAAUUUUUUGUGCAUGUUCAAUUUAGUUUCUAGGAACUAUAUGAAAAUAUUUUCAUCAAUGUGGUUAGCAGAUAAAUGAUUUUGUUCAAAUUCAAUUGCCAGAUAAGGACAAAAAUUGUCUAUCAACUUUAGCUGAAUAUACAACGCAGUCCCUCAACUUUUAAUUUAUUUAAUGUGAUUUCCAAACUUCACCCUAAUAGGUAAUAUAGUUUCUGAACUUUUAAUUUAUUCAAUGUGAUCUCUAAACUUUUUGUGCAUGUUCAAUUUAGUUUCAUAGUAUUUUUUUAUUAAUUUAAAUUUGGGAACAAUAUUGAAUAUUUUCAUAAAUUUGCAUUGGAGUGAAGUCGAAGUGAUUAUAUUAAAAAAAUUGAAAGUCGAGGCAUCUCAUUGAAAUUCAGAAAUCCUAUUGGGCUUCCUUGGGUGGGAUCGUGUGUUAAUUAGCUCCUGCCCCCACGGAGAUUGAGGUAUUUCUUUCCUCCUUGCACCGCCGCAUUCAUCGCACGUCUGUCAUAGACUCAUUACACGACCAUGUCGCACAAAUACUUCCCUCGUUUUGCCUUCUUGAAAGUAUUUGAUUUCACUGUCGUAGCUGAACCUCUUUUAGACAAAAAUCAGGUAUAUUCCGGGUCCCUGCCGACAUCCACGCAGCUGUUUCUUGCAUCAUCACCAUGGUCAAAUUGAUCUUGAACAUCGGAAAUUGAGAACCAACGUUGGGAGUUUUGUGCUCAAAUGUAAAGUUUCAGAUCCAAGCAUCGAUUCCUAAUUAUAUUUUAGAAAAGUUUUCUGUUCCUUUCAAUGAGGAAAUCAUCUUCUUAAAUUUAAGCUGAUAAGAAAAUAUUUUUCGUUAAUUCAUUUUCUUAAAUGAAACUACGUUUUCUACUGGACCAGAUCAGUCCCUCAAUGGGCAGGAGUAGGAAAGCGACCUAUUCUAUGAAGUCUUUCGUUAUAAACAAUACAAGAACAGCAUGCGGUUGGGACUUAAGAGAGAGCAACGAUGCAGCCACAGGAUUUGCAGUUGGAAUUAAUAAUUUGUUGGGGAGAUGGCAGCUACGGAACUAUUUGCAAGAGUUCCCGAAUGACCGUUGAGUUCUACUUUCGUGAUCCAACUGUUGCAAACCCCUCAAGGAACUGUUUCUCAAGAACUGUCGACGCCCUCCUUUUUGGUUGGUACGCCUGUGAUUAUCGUUGAGCAGCUGUGUUUCCCGCCGCCCCGGUGACGUUGCCCCCAAUGGUUCUCUUUGCUCGUUUCUUUCAUGGCGCUUCUUCCGUUGUUCUGUCCUGUUCCUUCGUUCCUGCAUAUUCCCGUUGUUACCUGGAUUCCACACCUUCUAUAUGCAGCUGCAAAUCGGCAUAGUACCCACUGCCCAUGACAAAGACUGUCUAGUUACAUGGGCAUAGGUAGUUCAAAAGACUAAAAUUGCUUGCUCCUAACUCAUAAAAAAAGGAGAGAAAAAACUGCAUAUGGGAUGAUUAGUUGAGAAUUUAAAAAGCAUACUAAAGAAUCCUGGAUGGAUUGAGCGUACUAUAUGGUGAACGUGGAACAUAACCAAUCAUAAAUAUAUAUGUACUAAGCAUAAAUGUAAUAAGUGUGAUAUGUCUUUUCGUGAGCUCUUAAGAGAGUGAACUGCUUGAUUUGUAAGGUGUAAAUUUAAUGUAAAAAAAAAAAAAAAAAAAGCCAUAAAGAUCUCUCUAACUAAAAAUCUCAACAUAUGAUAGCAGACACGGAGCCAUGAAAAAGUUGAUAGAUACCCCAGGAUUAUAUACCAAAUACUUAAUUCUAGGUGAUUAAUUGACAGGAUGCCAAUGAGCCAACAAUGCAUUAAAUAUCAUUUUUUGUUUGGUUUAAUACUUUCCGUCCGAAUUGCCACGUAAAGCGAUUGAGACAAGGACCAAACAUCUAACAAAAGAGUAUUUCAGCGCGCGGUGCCAUUCCCAGCGAGACGAUCUCAGGCGACGUGCAUACUUUAACAAAUAUCUUGACACGUGAAUAGUGGUUAUCGGCUCCUUUGUUAUCAUCAGUGUGGUUAGCAAAUAAAUGAUUUUGUCCAAAUUCAAUUGCCAGAUACGGACAAAAAUUAUUUAAGUAGCACCGACACUGAUACGCGACACGCGACACGACAAGACAAGACACGACGCGACACGACACAACAUAACGCGAUGCGACACGACACAACACGACUAGACACUCCGAUGCAUCUUUUUAAAAAAAAUAAAGAAUUUCAACAUAUUGUGACACGUUGUAUAUUAAAUAUAUAUUUUUAUAUAUUUACAUAAUAAAUUAUCAUUUGUAUGAUUAUUUCAAUCAAAUUAAUUUGAAUCAAAUUCAUAAAUAAAUAUAAUUAAAAACUCCUAGAAUAAAUAUGCACUAAGAAUAUUAAUCCGCAAUUUAUUAAUAUCAUUCAUUAUUUCAAUUUGACAAAUUCAAAUCUAUUUCAAUAAUUCAUAAAAUUUGGAGAAAAAACAAGCGAUCAAUAUUCUGGACUUGAAUGUUAGAUAUAUUGAAAGAUGAGAAAAAAACUUAAGGGGUGAAUUGUAUAUUACGGGAAGUUGGAGUCAGGAGAAAAGAGAAUACUAGGUUUUUAUUCUUUCUCCAUUUAUUAUUUUUAUUAUUGUGUUUUAUCUUUUGACAUAUAUAUUUUGACCUCUCAUUUAUUGAACUUUUAAAAUUGACUUUGAUAUUAAAAUCACGUAUCAAAAAUUCGUAUAGCAGAAUUCCAACUCGAAUGUCGGAAAGUGUCAAGAAAGUUGACCAAGUGUCGGAUUUUCGACACGUGUUGACCGAGCGUUCCAUAGUGUCGAACACGUGUCGACGUGUCCGACGCAACAUGAAGGCUCUUGGAGAGUGUUAGUUCUUCAUAGAAAAUUGCACAUCAACUUUAGCUAUAAAUAUAAUGCGGUCCCUCACUUUUAAUUUGUUCAAUGUGACCUCUAAACUUUACCCCAUUAUGUAAUGUAGUUCCCGAACUUUUAAUCUGUUCAAUAUGAUCUCUAGACUUUUUGUACAUAUUCAAUUUAGUUUUUAAACUAUACGAAAAUGUUCAAUAAUAUCCUUCUAUUAAUUUAAAUUCAGGGACAAUUUAUAAAGUGUACCAAAUUAAAAAUCCGCAUUGGAGUGAAGUCCAAGUGCUUAUAUUGAAAAAAUUGAAAAUCGAGGGAUUUCAUUAUAAAUUGAGUUAAAAUUCAGAUAUCGUUCUGUCAUUAUCCCUUUUAUUAUUAAAGCUUGACAUUGGGCUUCUUUGGGUGGGAUCGUGUAUUAAGUAGCUCCAGCCCCCGCGGAGACUGAGGCAUUUAUUUCCUCCUUGUACCGCCGCAUUCAUUGCACGUCUAUCAUUACACGACCAUGUCGCACAAAUGCUUCCUCGUUUUGCCUUCUUGAAUGUAUUUGAUUUCACUGUUUGUAAACGUGACUACCACUUUGCUCAUGCUUAGUAGUAACCUUUUAUGGACACCAAGGUGAACUUUAUUUGGACUGGUUCGAUCAUCUUACUCACUUCUCCCUUCACUGAACAAUUUGAGUACGGCUCAUCACCGUCUCCAGAUUAAAAUUUUCUUUUUACAGGGUAAGAUCUCUUGGCAUCUAACUAAACCUGUAAUGUGGGCGCUUCCUAUGACAAAAAUAAAAGAUUCACCAUCACCUCCUGAACUUAUUUGAUCGAGUCUGUGUGAAGCGGGCACAAUGGCCGGUCUCUUCAGUGGGAACUUCAUAUCGGAGUCGUGAUUAGCGGUAAUAACAUACGAUUUGUUAUGAUUUAUGCAAAAGUUCUCGAUUCACCGUUGAGUUCUACUUUCGUGAUCCAAUAGUUGCAAACGCCUCAAGGAACGGUUUCUCAAGAACCGUCGAUGCCCUCCUUUUCAGUCGGUACGCCUACGAUUAAUGUUGAGCAACUUAUGUCUAUUGGUACGCUUGCGAUUAAUGCUGAGCAACCUAUGUUGCAUGGACACAUUAACAUGCUUCCGUGUCAGAGCAACGUUGACACACUUGGAUACGCAUUGACCGCGUGUCAGAUUUAUUGACUAGCCAUGUCCGAAGUCGUUACCUUAACUGCAAGGAGGGGGAAACCGAAGGCAGGGCUAGUGACUAGAAUGAAGUCGUAACAAGGUAACUGGAUCGAGUUAUCGCUACCAUGGCCAAUAAUGUCCAAUAAUGUCCGGUUCUUCCGGCGGAUGCCUCGUCCCCACCGUAAUUAAAAGAGGGUACGAAUUGUUUUGGUCCAUGUAGCUGGGAAGACGAAUUAAAUAAGCGGUCGCUUUGCUUUUAUUUUCUGUUUUUACUUCUUUUGGUAAUUUGAUUGGCUUGUUAAUCAUAUGUUAUCCCACAUUAAGACUAGGAGGAGGGCCAAAAAAUUCAUCGAUGAUGAAAACGACGGGCGAUUAUAGAAUGGUGUCAAAAGCCCCGAUGUCCAUCGCAUUCGCUAACAUCUCGAUGGGUUGGACUUAUUGAUUGAUUUGCCGUUCCAAACUCUCAUAUAAUAUUAAAUUUGAUUGUGGUCAAGAUUUUCCCUAUGUUCAUAAAUGACUCCUUUUGGGAUGAAUCUAUUAUCCAUUCCAAGAUAUUCAUUUUUGCCCUUUGUUUGCUUCUCUUUUGGAAAUCUAAGAUUGACGUAUCCGUAACUACAUCCAAAAAAUAUAAAUGGUUCAAUAAGAGAUAAGUGCAUUUGAGAUUUUAGAACUUAUUGGAAAAAUGCAAUUGAAUCAUAAAAUUUGUCGAAUUGAUCCAACUAAAGUCUUUUCGUUGAUUGCAUUUUUGAGACUUCGAAAACUCAAUUAUACUCUCAUGAUAAAUUUUAAAUUGAUAAACUUUUACUAUACUUAUCCCGUUAAUCUAUUGUGUUUUCCCUGAUAGAAUCGAAGGAGCUUGUUUCGUUCUUUGCCCAAGAAAAGGUUCUCUGUCUCCAUCUGCUUUUCUUCUCGGGCAGGGAGAGGUAGGGACAAGUUUAGCAGGCAUUAAUGAAAUCGAAAUCGAAGUGACGAGAGUAUUUCCUUCUCCUCUCUUUCCCUAGCUCGCAGGGACUGUUAUGUGCAUGCAUGCCCGGACUAAGCAACGAGGGACGAUGAUUAACAUCGUUUCAAAGCCUCAAAUUCUUGCUCAGAUCUGAUAUUAAAACCUAAUACCAAUUACCGCUGUCGCCUAGCUACUCUGAAAGCUCUGGACAGUCGAUAAAUAGCUUCGUCUUCUCCAUGCUUACCUGAGGAAAAACCAAAGCAAGCUCUCUUUCUCUCUCUCUCUCUCUCUCUCUCUCUCUCUCUCUCUCUCUCUCUCUCUCUCUCUCUCGUUGUUGUGCUCUUCUUCCUCUCCUUCUCCUUCUCCUUUAUAUUCUUGUUGAGUUAGAGAGGUUGUGCUAGCGAGAACGUGCCCGUCGAGAAGAUGUCAAGCUUUAGGAAACCCUUUGGCUUAUCUUCUCCUUUAUAUGCGGUUAUCUUGGUCUCCCUUGCCCUCGUUGCUCGCGGGAGGCUCGCCUCCUCGGCACGGCCCAGGCCCUGGCCGCCCCUGCCGGCAUUCAUUGCGUUUGGCGACUCCAUCAUCGACCCCGGGAACAACAACAACAUACAGACGAUAGUCAAGUGCAACUUCCCACCGUACGGGCGGGAUUUCAUGGGGGGGAAACCGUCCGGGAGGUUCUCCAACGGGAAGAUCCCGCCGGACCUGUUCGGUAAUGUGCAUAAAAAUCCAUCUGCUUUGAACUAGUUUCAAAAGCGGGAAAAAUCGAUCACUUGAGUUCAUGUUAUUGUCAUCUUGAGGUGACCUGUGUGUUUUCACCUGUAGUGAUAGAUGCAUGACUUGUGCCAUUUCCCCCACCUUUGAACUCUUUUGCGUUGAUCUUUCAAGUGUAACCAUAGAUUAGUCAGGGCGAGGUAAGCUUGAGCCUCCAACAUGCGCUAUUUUAUUUCAUAAAAACAUCGACACUCAAUCCUAUGAAUGAACCCAAUAACUUUUUAAAGAGUGCGUUUGUUUCAUAAAAAAACUCCAUGAUAAAAAAGAAAAAAAAAAUGUACUUUUUAGUUUUCCUUUAUUUGGUGAUAUAUGAAUAAAAACAUUUUCGACACUUUUCGGGAAUAUGAUUAGUUUUCCUUUAUUUGGUAAUGUAUAAUCGAAAAUAUUUUAUGAUGUUUGGAUCUCAUUGGAUAAAGAUUUCGAUCUCAUGACUUUAUUUUAGGCCAAAAAAAUCGAAAUUUUUUAUUAAUGUUUUUAUUUGUAUAUAAAAAUCGAACUUUUAAUUACUUUUACUUUAUUUUCUUUAAAAGUUUGAAUUUUUAAUUUCUCUUCUUUUCUCUUUACUUUUUCCUUUUUCUUUUUUCUUUUUUUCUUUUUCCGACUUUCUCCGCUACAACCGACCAACGAUGGCCAUAGGCAAGCUUUAAGCUUACUUGGAUCUGGUGAGCCUUAACUUGUCGACUCGACUAGCUCAAGCUCACCUAGAUCAGCCAAGCCUUGAGCUUGCCAAUCGCGUCAUGGUCGGCUAGUGGAGGAAGAAGAAAAAUAAUAAUAAUAAUAAUAAUAAUAAUAAUAAUAAGUUUAAAAUAUUCAAAAAAAUUAUAAAAUGAAAAUAAAUCAAUUUAUUUUACCCAACAAAUUUAUUUUAAGAAGAAUAAUUUUUAUAAUUAAAUUUUCAUAAACCAAGGAUCCUAAAACUAGGAAAAUAUUUAGGAAAACAAUUUUUUUGGUUCUUUUAGAGGGGAAAUCAUUUUCUUAAAUUUAAGUUUUGAUAGAAAAACAUUUCUCAUUGAUUAAAAAAUUAUUUUUCGUUAACUCAUUUUCCUAACAAACCAAACACUAAAAAUUGAGGAAAAUGUUUUCCAUGAAUUGCUUUUUGCAAAACAACCGGACCCUAGUGAAAAACAAUGUGUUAUAAUAGACAUCAAAUUCUAAAUCUAUUAUAUUUGUGCCAAUUUAACAUAAACUUUUCAAUUAGAUCAAUUUAGACCUAGAUCUUUUCCGUUUGUGCCAAUUAAGUCUAUCGAGUCAAUUUCGACUGGAAAUUGCUAACAUAGAUGCCAGUCAUACCAUAUAACACGACCAACAUAAACAUGGAUAUUUUUUUUAUUUUUUAGAGUUCUUUUUUACUUUUCUUUUUCCUUUUUUUUCUUUUAUUUUCUUCUUUUCUUUCAUUCUUUAUUUUUCCCAACUAUGGGCUGGCAAGUUUGCCGACCGACCAUUGCCGAUCACAUAAGAGAACCAGCGACCCUCACCUGGUCUAGGCAAGGCAAGGGUCGUGAUGCCUUCUUUUGGUAUGAGAUUUCUCUAAGGUUGACAAAAAAUUGAAAAGGAGAAGAAAAGAAAAGAAGAUGUUUUUUUUUUUUAGUGGUACUAGUCCCUCUCCUUUCCAUCAAGAUGAUGUUUCUAUUUCCUAUGCCGAUUGAUGUUUGUGCAAAUUUGUUGCCGGUCUCUUUGGAGGUUUCUAAGUACGAUGUCUAUGCAAGUUUACGAGGUUUCGUCGUGUGAUUAAAAUACAAAACACCGCACAAUAAUGUGAUUUUUCUUUGUUGAUUUAUCCAAAUUCAAAAGAACGCCUUGCAAAAGAAAUUGCGAGGUACAAACACUUUUUUGACCUUUUACCAUAGCAAACGUUAUUAACCCGAUUUUACGAAUCUUGGAACAAAAUUUUCUCCAGUCGAAGCAUUUGGAAUUAAACAGUACUUGCCUGCUUAUUUGGACCCGAGUCUCAAAUUAGAAGACCUCCUCACCGGCGUCAGCUUCGCUUCCGGCGCCACCGGUUACGAUCCUCUCACUCCACAAAUCGCCGUAAGCUCUCGCUCCUCCCGAUCUGCUCUUAGAAUUCGACCCUCCUUUCUUUGUUUUCUUGGUAAUUCGGAAUUUAGGGAUUGUCUUAGGCUUGUGCGUCGGUAGGCGUCAAUACAUGUGAAAGAAUAAUCGUUAUGACUCCGAGGAGCGUCGGUGUGUGCUAGUGCGCGCGCUGUAUAAACACCGGGCCUCCUCACGAGUCGCUCGAGCUUUGUUUAGUUCAGCUCGAUCUUUUUGCAAUCAAAUGGAAUCACCUGAAAUUUCUUCCAUCAUAUGAUUAUUCCGGCAGUCGGCCUUGUCGCUAUCGGAUCAACUAAACUUGUUCAAGGAGUACGUGAACAAGAUAAAAUCAGGUGCCGGAGAAGAGAAGGCGUCGUACAUCAUCAAGAAUAGCCUCUACACGGUGGUGUGCGGGAGCGAUGACAUCGCAAACACUUACUACUCGACUCCAUUCAGGCGAGGGGAAUACGACAUACCGGCCUACACCGAUCUCAUGCUCAACUCGGCUUCAAGUUUCAUUCAGGUAAAGUCUUGAAAGAGAAACAUUCUUUACGAACAAUGACGACGACGAUGAUGAAGAAAGACCAAAAGACAUGAUAACAUAGGGAUUAAAUUGCAAGACAGAACUGAUUCUGAAGUACUGGUGUACGAUUUAGCAGGAGCUCUAUGGAUUAGGAGCAAGAAAAAUUGGCAUCCUGAGCAUACCACCGAUCGGAUGUGUGCCUGCACAGAGAACGCUUGAUGGAGGAUUAGAAAGAGCCUGUAAUGCGCCUGCCAAUCAAGCAGCAACCCUCUUCAACUCCAAGCUCAUCUCAGAAAUCGAAUCCCUCAAACAGAAGCUCCCUGGCUCUAAACUAGUCUAUUUGGACAUCUACCAUAAAUUGCUUUCCGUCAUCCAAAACCCUUCGCACUACGGUAACUCGCUGCGUUAUAUACUCUCUCUCUACACAAGAUUUUGGCUUUUGCAUUCGAAUCUCUAUCGUCAUGCCGUCGGUCAGCCUCAUGUUUGGGUCAUGUCGAUGCAUGUGUGCAGGAUUUGAAGUGGCGAAUAGAGGGUGCUGCGGCACGGGGAACAUAGAAGUGAGCAUACUGUGCAACCGUCUGGACGAUCUCGAGACAUGCCAAGAUGACUCGAAGUACGUCUUCUGGGACAGUUACCAUCCGACUGAAAAUACCUAUAAGAUCCUAACGGAUCACGUGAUCGACAAUUAUGCCGACCAGCUUUUAUGAGACCGCUCGGAUUUAUUAGUUGUUUACGGGUGAAUUGGAUUAGACAGUACACCUCGAAGUUUCCAUAAGGCCCCCCUGCUUCUUGUUGCAGAUUGAAGUUUCCAUAAGGUCCCCGGCCUCCUGUUAUGGAUUGUAACAGAGGCAGUAGAAUAUCGCACCUGUCUUCCAGCCAUCUUAUUUAUUUUGUUCGGCUCAACAAAAGUGUGAAACAUUGAACUCUUCAUUCAAAAUACUUUCAUUAUCGGAAAUAUGAUGGUACUUAAGCGAAUGUCUCCUUACCUUCAUGCUGCGGGUAAGUUGGGCACCUUGAAACUUUAGAGAGUGUCUGAGAUACUAUCUUAAGGUAUUCCAUCAAUUACUCCUCACAUGGUGGUCCUGCAGCUAAAAUAACAAUAAUUCAUUGUCCAAAACAGAAGAAAAAGAAGAGCAAAGCACAAAAAGCCUGCUCAAUAUUGUGAUUGAGACUAGGUGUAAAGAGAUGUAACAAGCUUUUCCAACCUGCCUGUAUCUCCCUUUGUCCUUUGGUAGUUCUACCGGUAAGCAGCUGCUUUUGUUGGAUCCUUCCUCAUCGCAACUAACAAGACCCGGUCCUCAGUGAGCAUCUGGCGCUAUGGGUACCCUUAUAUUGGUGUCAUGAUCUCUAAUUACAAUCAUCAUCAUUGUGUCAUCUUAACUCCAGUUCUGAUUUUGCUUUAUCUAUUGUGAGACUCCACUUAGGAAACAAAAACAGAAAACCUGUCUUAACGGGCAGUUAUAUUUCUCGCUUUGCAAUUCCUUGGCAAGGCUUGCAUAUGUCUGUGCUCCUCUCAUGUUCUUGUCUUUUGCUAGUCACUCCUGCAGAAUUGGAUGAGCUUUUCUGAUAGAUCCUCCUCCCUCUCUCUCUCUCUCUCUCUCUCUCUCUCUAACACAAGCACGCACAUAAUGGCGGCCCACUAAGGAGUAAAAGUCAACAUCAAAACAGAAAAAGAGACA
rnacentral:lncRNA from 1 species